UACAGAGGUCUCAAGCGUUGUUCGGAUUCAUUGGGCGUAAAGGGUGCGUAGGCUGCGGGGUAAGUCGGGUGUGAAAUCUCAGAGCUCAACUCUGAAACUGCAUUCGAUACUGCUUUGCUUGAGGACUGGAGAGGAGAUUGGAAUUCACGGUGUAGCAGUGAAAUGCGUAGAUAUCGUGAGGAAGACCAGUGGCGAAGGCGGAUCUCUGGACAGUUCCUGACACUGAGGCGCGAAGGCCAGGGGAGCAAACGGG
rnacentral:rRNA from 1 species